GGCUGGGUAGCUCAGUUGGUUAGAGUGUUGUCCUGAUACGUCAAGGUUGCAGGUUCGAUCCCCAGUCA
rfam:Myotis lucifugus cont2.25205, whole genome shotgun sequence.